UACGAACCGUCCAAACGUUAUUCGGAAUCACUGGGCUUAAAGGGUGCGUAGGCGGCCUGGUAAGUUGGGUGUGAAAUGCCUCGGCUCAACCGAGGAAUUGCGCUCAAAACUGCCAGGCUCGAGGAAGACAGAGGUAAGCGGAACUUAGGGUGGAGCGGUGAAAUGCGUUGAUAUCCUAAGGAACACCGGUGGCGAAAGCGGCUUACUGGGUCUUUUCUGACGCUGAGGCACGAAAGCUAGGGGAGCGAACGGG
rnacentral:rRNA from 1 species